GCCAAACUCACUGAAAAUCCUCAAUCCUUACUUUCUUACUCGCCCUGCCCUCCAUGGCAGAGAAAGUAGCUCCCUCGCUUCUUCUCUCAAACCCACCUCCAGCAAAACCCCAAUUUCCUAUCCAAACCCACUUCCACCAUCUGCCUAUGAUACCAGCUUCUCCACCCCCACCUAUAACUCCUCUUCUUCAGAACUUACUCCUCAACAACCAACACUCAAAUUCUCCAAAACCCAUUAAUCCAAGGACCCCAUCUAAUCAUUCACCUAGACCCCG
rnacentral:misc_RNA from 1 species